GACAGAGGGUGCAAACGUUGUUCGGAUUUACUGGGCGUAAAGCGUGUGUAGGCGGCUUCGCAAGUUGGAUGUGAAAUCCCACGGCUCAACCGUGGACGUGCAUCCAAAACUGCGUCGCUAGAGUCUCGGAGAGGAAGGUGGAAUGCUUGGUGUAGAGGUGAAAAUUCGUAGAUAUCAAGCAGAACACCUGCGGCGAAGGCGGCCUUCUGGACGAUGACUGACGCUGAGACACGAAAGCGUGGGGAGCAAACAGG
rnacentral:rRNA from 1 species